UGUGGGUGAAGUAUUCAAAGGGGCCACACCCCUUGAAGGUUUCUGGAAGCAGUGUGAACAGCCUCCCAUAAACCCUUUGUGCAGCUGCUGCACCUCAACAUCUAGACUUCCGGAACGAUCCCUCUCCUUCUGGACCAAGCACAACCACUGAAUAGCUUUCUACCGUGUUCGUAUCCUUCCUGACGAAUCAGACAGUCAGAGGACCGAGAAGGAUGUAGAAUGGCAGCUCCAACUACAACAUUUGAAGAUGUGACGGACUCCCUUCUGUCAGCUAGCAAUAUUGCUAAGGUCGGGGAUACAGUCAACUUCUACAACACCUGGGCAGACAACUAUGAUCAGGAUCAUGCACUUCUGGACUUUUACCGGCCAAGUAGUGUCUGCAAAAUGCCUGUCCUGUUUCCAUGGUGACGGGGAGACAGCUAUGGUUCUGGACUUGGCCUGUGGUCCCGGAAUGGUCGCAUCACUGACCAUUUCCGGAGACCUUCUCCCUUACCUCACCUCGCUCAUCAACUCAUCCCUGACCGCUGGCUACGUCCCUUCCGUCUUCAAGAGAGCGAGAGUUGCACCCCUUCUGAAAAAACCUACACUCGAUCCCUCCGAUGUCAACAACUACAGACCAGUAUCCCUUCUUUCUUUUCUCUCCAAAACCCUUGAACGUGCCGUCCUUGGCCAGCUCUCCCGCUAUCUCUCUCAGAAUGACCUUCUUGAUCCAAAUCAGUCAGGUUUCAAGACUAGUCAUUCAACUGAGACUGCUCUUCUCUGUAUCACGGAGGCGCUCCGCACUGCUAAAGCUAACUCUCUCUCCUCUGCUCUCAUCCUUCUAGACCUAUCGGCUGCCUUCGAUACUGUGAACCAUCAGAUCCUCCUCUCCAUCAGAUCCUCCUCUCCGAGUUGGGCAUCUCCGGCGCGGCCCACGCUUGGAUUGCGUCCUACCUGACAGGUCGCUCCUACCAGGUGGCGUGGCGAGAAUCCGUCUCCUCACCACGUGCUCUCACCACUGGUGUCCCCCAGGGCUCUGUUCUAGGCCCUCUCCUAUUCUCGCUAUACACCAAGUCACUUGGCUCUGUCAUAACCUCACAUGGUCUCUCCUAUCAUUGCUAUGCAGACGACACACAAUUAAUCUUCUCCUUUCCCCCUUCUGAUGACCAGGUGGCGAAUCGCAUCUCUGCAUGUCUGGCAGACAUAUCAGUGUGGAUGACGGAUCACCACCUCAAGCUGAACCUCGGCAAGACGGAGCUGCUCUUCCU